GAAGAGUUUAGGAGAUGCAGCAGGAAUAGACCAUGUCCACGUGGACAAAUUUGUAGGCAGGGAUUCUGUGGUGGUAACUUCGGAGAAGGUUAACGCUAGAUGGUACAUUAUGAACACGACAAACACGGGUGUGCGGAUAGGACGUAGUAGAUCUGUUCACUCGUACACGGAAUAUUCGACAUGU